rnacentral:rRNA from 1 species
ACUGCAGGGGGUAGAGCACUGUUAUGGCUAGGGGGUCAUGGCGACUUACCAAACCAUGGCAAACUCCGAAUACCUGCAAGUACAGCUUGGGAGACAGAGCACCGGGUGCUAACGUCCGGACUCAAGAGGGAAACAACCCAGACCGCCAGCUAAGGUCCCGAAUUAUCGCUAAGUGGGAAACGAAGUGGGAAGGCAUAGACAGUCAGGAGGUUGGCUUAGAAGCAGCCACCCUUUAAAGAAAGCGUAAUAGCUCACUGAUCGAGUCGUCCUGCGCGGAAGAUGUAACGGGGCUAAGCGAUAAACCGAAGCUGCGGGUGUGCACUUUUAGUGCACGCGGUAGGAGAGCGUUCUGUAAGCCUGCGAAGGUGGCUUGUAAAGGCUGCUGGAGGUAUCAGAAGUGCGAAUGCUGACAUGAGUAGCGAUAAAGGGGGUGAAAAGCCCCCUCGCCGUAAGUCCAAGGUUUCCUGCGCAACGUUCAUCGGCGCAGGGUGAGUCGGCCCCUAAGGCGAGGCAGAGAUGCGUAGCUGAUGGGAAGCUGGUUAAUAUUCCAGCACCGUCGUACAGUGCGAUGGGGGACGGAUCGCGGAAGGUCAUCAGGGUGUUGGACGUCCCUGUUGCUGCAUUGAAGAUGGCGCUUAGGCAAAUCCGGGCGCGAGAAUCAAGGGUGUGGCACGAGCGAGCAAGUCUCGCGAAGUGAUUGGAAGUGGUUCCAAGAAAAGCCUCUAAGCUUCAGCUGUACGAGACCGUACCGCAAACCGACACAGGUGGACGGGAUGAAUAUUCCAAGGCGCUUGAGAGAACUCAGGAGAAGGAACUCGGCAAAUUGAUACCGUAACUUCGGGAGAAGGUAUACCCUGGUAGUGUGAAGCGCCUGCGCGCUGAGCAUGAAGGGGUCGCAGAGAAUCGGUGGCUGCGACUGUUUAUUAAAAACACAGCACUCUGCAAAGACGAAAGUCGACGUAUAGGGUGUGACGCCUGCCCGGUGCCGGAAGGUUAAGUGAUGGGGUGCAAGCUCUUGAUCGAAGCCCCGGUAAACGGCGGCCGUAACUAUAACGGUCCUAAGGUAGCGAAAUUCCUUGUCGGGUAAGUUCCGACCUGCACGAAUGGCGUAACGAUGGCCACACUGUCUCCUCCUGAGACUCAGCGAAGUUGAAGUGUUUGUGAUGAUGCAAUCUACCCGCGGCUAGACGGAAAGACCCCAUGAACCUUUACUGUAGCUUUGCAUUGGACUGUGAACCGGCCUGUGUAGGAUAGGUGGGAGGCGCAGAACUCGAGUCGCCAGAUUCGAGGGAGCCAUCCUUGAAAUACCACCCUGGUUUGUUUGCGGUUCUAACCUUGGUCCGUUAUCCGGAUCGGGGACAGUGCAUGGUAGGCAGUUUGACUGGGGCGGUCUCCUCCCAAAGCGUAACGGAGGAGUUCGAAGGUACGCUAGGUACGGUCGGAAAUCGUGCUGAUAGUGCAAUGGCAUAAGCGUGCUUGACUGUGAGACUGACAAGUCGAACAGGUGCGAAAGCAGGACAUAGUGAUCCGGUGGUUCUGAAUGGAAGGGCCAUCGCUCAACGGAUAAAAGGUACUCUGGGGAUAACAGGCUGAUACCGCCCAAGAGUUCAUAUCGACGGCGGUGUUUGGCACCUCGAUGUCGGCUCAUCUCAUCCUGGGGCUGUAGCCGGUCCCAAGGGUAUGGCUGUUCGCCAUUUAAAGAGGUACGUGAGCUGGGUUUAAAACGUCGUGAGACAGUUUGGUCCCUAUCUGCCGUGGGCGUUGGAUACUUGACGGAGCCUGCUCCUAGUACGAGAGGACCGGAGUGGACGUACCUCUGGUGUACCGGUUGUCAUGCCAAUGGCAUUGCCGGGUAGCUAAGUACGGAAGAGAUAACCGCUGAAGGCAUCUAAGCGGGAAACUCGUCUGAAGAUUAGGUAUCCCGGGGACUAGAUCCCCCUGAAGGGUCGUUCGAGACCAGGACGUUGAUAGGUCGGGUGUGGAAGCGCAGUAAUGCGUUAAGCUAACCGAUACUAAUUGCCCGUGAGGCUUGAUCCU